rnacentral:lncRNA from 10 species
AUCAUGUGGAAUGACUGCCCAGUUUGAUGAGGCAGGAUACCAUGCUGUGGAGACCCAUUUGGCAAGAAACUAAAGGCAGCCACCAUCCAAAUGCUAGGAAAAAGCUACAGCUUUCUGUCUGAUGGCAAAGGAGACACUGAAUCCAGUCAACAAUAACAGGAGUUUGAUGGAAGAUCCAUUCCCCAGUGGAGCCUCAGAUAACACCUCAAGUCUGGCCAACAUUCUGACUGUAAACUUAUGAGAGACCCUGAAGCAGAGAAUUCAGCUAAUCCAUGCCUGGGUUUCUGACUCUCAAAAAUUCUGAGAUAAUAAAUGCAUGUUGUUUUAUGCCUUUAAGUUGUGGUAAUUUGUUAUGCAGCUGUAGAUGACAUGCAGAUUCAAGUAUCUGAAAAUGAGGGGCUGCUCUGAAAACACUACAAAUGUGGGAGUGGCUUUA